rnacentral:rRNA from 1 species
AGUAGCGAAUGAGGAGUGAGAAACUCCUCCACCGAAAGACCAAGGGUUCCAGGGUCAAGCUAAUCUGCCCUGGGUAAGUCGGGACCUAAGGCGAGGCCGACAGGCGUAGUCGAUGGACAACGGGUUGAUAUUCCCGUACCGGCGAAGAACCGCCCAAACCAAUCCAGUAA